rnacentral:rRNA from 1 species
UAGGAACGCUAGCGGGAGGCCUAAUACAUGCAAGUCGAGCGGUAGAGUGACUUCGGUUGCUUGAGAGCGGCGCGACGGGUGAGUAACGCGUACAUGACCUACCUUUAAAGACUGGGAUACGCCCGUGGGAAACUGGGAAUUAAUACCGGAUGUGAUAAUACGUAUAGAGAUGUAUUAUUAAAGUUGAGGCGCUUAGAGAUGGAUGUGCGUCUGAUUAGCUAGUUGGUAGGGUAACGGCCUACCAAGGCUACGAUCAGUAGGGGGCGUGAGAGCGUGGCCCCCCACACGGGUACUGAGACACGGACCCGACUCCUACGGGAGGCAGCAGUAAGGAAUAUUGGUCAAUGGACGGAAGUCUGAACCAGCCAUCCCGCGUGCAGGAUGACUGCCCUAUGGGUUGUAAACUGCUUUUAGCAGAGACGAAACGCCUUCAUUUAUGAGGGUCUGACGGUAUCUGCAGAAUAAGCACCGGCUAACUCCGUG